UACGUAGGGGGCGAGCGUUGUCCGGAGUUACUGGGCGUAAAGGGCAUGCAGGCGGUCCGACACGUUUUGUGUGACAGCGGGUGGCUUAACUACCCGAGGAUGCAAAAGACGGUUGGACUUGAGGACUCGAGAGGGACACGGAAUUCCGGGUGGAGUGGUGAAAUGCGUAGAGAUCCGGAGGAACACCGAAGGCGAAGGCAGUGUCCUGGCGAGUGACUGACGCUGAGGCGCGAAAGCUAGGGGAGCGAACGGG
rnacentral:rRNA from 1 species